rnacentral:rRNA from 1 species
GACGAACGCUGGCGGCGUGCUUAACACAUGCAAGUCGAACGGAAAGGCCUGCUUUCCCUUGUGGAUUGCGGGUACUCGAGUGGCGAACGGGUGAGUAACACGUGAGUGAUCUGCCCCCAACUUGGGUAUAAGCCUGGGAAACUGGGUCUAAUUCCCGAUAGGACUGCAGGGUGGUGCCUGUGGUGGAAAACGAUUUUCUAGUGGGUGGGGAUGAGCUCGCGGCCUAUCAGCUUGUUGGUGGGGUAAUGGCCUACCAAGGCGGCGACGGGUAGCCGGCCUGAGAGGGUGGACGGCCACAUUGGGACUGAGAUACGGCCAAGACUCCUACGGGAGGCAGCAGUGGGGAAUAUUGCACAAUGGGCGGAAGCCUGAUGCAGCGACGCCGCGUGGGGGAUGACGGCCUUCGGGUUGUAAACUCCUUUCGACCGCGAGGAAGCCACCUGGUUGGAAGGGUGGUGACGGUAGUGGUAGAAGAAGCACCGGCUAACUACGUG